rnacentral:rRNA from 1 species
GACGAACGCUGGCGGCGUGCCUAAUACAUGCAAGUAGAACGCUGAAGAGAGGAGCUUGCUCUUCUUGGAUGAGUUGCGAACGGGUGAGUAACGCGUAGGUAACCUGCCUUGUAGCGGGGGAUAACUAUUGGAAACGAUAGCUAAUACCGCAUAACAAUGGAUGACCCAUGUCAUUUAUUUGAAAGGGGCAAAUGCUCCACUACAAGAUGGACCUGCGUUGUAUUAGCUAGUAGGUGAGGUAACGGCUCACCUAGGCGACGAUACAUAGCCGACCUGAGAGGGUGAUCGGCCACACUGGGACUGAGACACGGCCCAGACUCCUACGGGAGGCAGCAGUAGGGAAUCUUCGGAAAUGGGGGCAACCCUGACCGAGCAACGCCGCGUGAGUGAAGAAGGUUUUCGGAUCGUAAAGCUCUGUUGUAAGUCAAGAACGAGUGUGAGAGUGGAAAGUUCACACUGUGACGGUAGCUUACCAGAAAGGGACGGCUAACUACGUG